rnacentral:lncRNA from 1 species
CAUUUAGUGCUCAGCAACGUUUCUAAACUCCUGGAAUGUGUGGUGUGAGCCUGUUUUCUGUAGAAACCAAGAAAGGGCCGGCAUUGUUUUUUGGACUGGGAUGGUAUACAGAAGAGAGAUGGUGGAUGGAGGAGCCAGCUUGAGGAUGAGAUGGGAUCAUGGGAAGACUUUGGACUCCAAAGGCCAGUAAGAGUUUGCCAAGUUUAUUGAGAUCUCCAAGGGUCAGGACAAAGCAGUGGGGGUGGCAGUGGGGGCGCGGUUCUUAGCGGACACUGGAUACCACUGUUAUUACUACUUGUCAGCCCCUUCCUGCCCUAUUUCCUACUCACUCCCCCCUCAAAUACCCUAGUGGCUCCUUCAAUCUGGGCCACUUCCUCAGGGGAAACAGGAUGUCUUCUCCAGGCUUGGGCCAGGUCUCUGGGGUCUGGGGUGGGAAGAAGCUGUCUAAUUGGUUAACACGGAGCUAGGCACCAGAGAGGAAGUAAGGUUUCCUGGAGUUGAGGAAACUGCCAUUUCCUCCUCCAGCAGGAAGCGGCCUUGGCUAUUCUCAGCACCCCCUGGCCAUGUGGAGCAAUGGAAAUCACAGCCUGGCACUGUCUCUGGUUUGCCUCCUGCAGUUUAACAAUCUCCCAGUCAAAAUAAACCGGCUCCUUAGGUCUCCAGGGCAUGGUUAAGGUAAUAAUUGAGAGAAAGAGAGAAACCAGAGGCCUGGCUGUAGCAUGAAGGCACGGAGAAACUUUUACAAUGCCAAGCUGCUAUUGGUUGCUGGUGCCUCAUGAAAGCGAUAUAACUGCAGCACUGUGAGGGUCAACACAUCAGG